CUCUCCCUCCCUCCCCCUCUGGCCACGCUCUGGGCCGGCUCUGGUUCCACACGAGGCCACGCCCCCGAUCUGGCCCCGGCCACGCCCCCGGCCCCAGGCCACAUCCCCGCAGGCUCUCCUUCGAUUUCCUCCCGCAGGCCACACCCACGCGCCAGCUUUCCACACACACUCCCUUCUCCCGCCUCUGUGCCACCAGCCGGGCUACUCCCAUCGUCCUUUCAGCCGUUCCCAACCCCCACGCGAUCCACCACCAGGAUAUCCCCCAGCCAGCAGGUCCCCAGCCGGACUCCCUUCCAUCCACCCCUGCGACUCCCCGGUCCCAGCACCCCUGGCCCGGCCCUGCUAAACCCGGCUCCCCCCGCCGGAUCGGCCCGCCAGCAACAGCCCCCACUGCCCCCUCGCCUCUGCCCGGGAGGAGGUCACUCCAGGCCAAGGCGCCCUGGCUGCGCUUUUCUGAGCAAAGGAAAUAGGAGUGAAAAAUCUAUUCUGUGUGAUACGUGGUGGAUCCAUGUCAUCCUGCGUUUGUGAAAACCCACAGACCAUCCAGCAGAGUGAACCUCAAUGUAAACUCGUUUAUCAUGAUGUAUCAACAUGGGCUCAUCAAUCACA